GGAUGACUUGUGGAUAGGGGUGAAAGGCCAAUCAAACCCGGUGAUAGCUGGUUCUCCCCGAAAUAUAUUGAGGUAUAGCCUCAUGGAUUGUCUACCGGAGGUAAAGCACUGACAGGGCUAGGGGUCCUACCAGAUUACCAAACCCUAUCAAACUCAGAAUGCCGGUCAGAUGUACCAUGGGAGUCAGACGGCGGGUGCUAAGGUCCGUCGUCGAGAGGGUAAGAGCCCAGAUCAACAGCUAAGGUCUCCAAAUCUAUGCUCAGUGGUUAAGGUGGUGACGUUGUAGAGACACCCAGGACGUUGGCUUAGAAGCAGCCAUCGUUUAAAGAAAGCGUAAUAGCUCACUGGUCUAAUGACGUUGCGCCGAAAAUGUAACGGGGCUAAGCAUAGUACCGAAGCUUUGAAUUCCGCGAAUGCGGUCUGGUAGGGGAGCGUUCUUCACGGGCUGAAGGUGUGUCGUAAGGCAUGCUGGACUGUGGAGAAGUGAUUAUGCUGACAUGAGUAACGAUAAAACGGGUGAAAAACCCGUUCGCCGUAAACCCAAGGUUUUCCGGGUAAAGGUAAUCUUCCCGGAGUUAGUCGGCCCCUAAGGCGAGGCUGAAAGGCGUAGCUGAUGGGAAACGUGUUAAUAUUCACGUACUUGUGUGUUCGCGCGAUGAAGGGACGCAGGAAGAUAGGCAAGCCGGGCGCUGGUUGUCCCGGUGCAAGCGUGUAGGGAUGAAGAGUUGGCAAAUCCGCUCUUCUCUAUCCUGAGACGCGAGUCCGUGACCGAAAGGUCUGAAGUUGUUGAGUCUAUGCUGCCUAGAAAAGCUUCUAAGUAUAGGACACGCAAACCGUACCGGAAACCAACUCAGGUGGGUGGGAUGAAUAAUCCAAGGCGCUCGAGAGAACUCUGGCCAAGGAACUCGGCAAAAUAACCCCGUACCUUCGGAAGAAGGGGUGCUUUUUAGGGUGAAGCGAUUCACUCUGUCGAGCCCUGAAAAGCCGCAGAGAAAUGGUGGUGGCGACUGUUUACUAAAAACAUAGGUCUGUGCCAAGUCGUAUAGACGACGUAUACGGACUGACGCCUGCCCGGUGCUGGAAGGUUAAAAGGAGGAGUCAGCGCAAGCGAAGCUCCGAAUUGAAGCCCCAGUAAACGGCGGCCGUAACUAUAACGGUCCUAAGGUAGCGAAAUUCCUUGUCGGGUAAGUUCCGACCUGCACGAAUGGCGUAACGACUUCCCC
rnacentral:rRNA from 1 species